ensembl:lncRNA
GAGGAAUCCUUGAUGGUAGAGUCCUGGUUGUCCUCAGGAUUUGCCUUCCAGAAGUACGGCUUGUCCAUCAGUCCUCCAGAUUCCUGGUCUGGUUACAAACGUAAUUUGCCUCUAAUGUAAGGUAACAAACAGUAGUAGUUUGUCUCUAAUGUAAGGUAACAAACACAGUAGUAGUUGGGCUCUAAUGUAAGGUAACAAACACAGUAGUAGUUGGGCUCUAAUGUAAGGUCACAGACACAGGGGUAGUUGGGCUGUAAUGCGCGUAACAAAGUAGCAGCUGUAGUUUGUCUGGUAAACAACCACAGUAGUAUGCCG